rnacentral:rRNA from 1 species
UACGUAGGGUGCAAGCGUUAAUCGGAAUUACUGGGCGUAAAGCGUGCGCAGGCGGUUGUGCAAGACAGAUGUGAAAUCCCCGGGCUUAACCUGGGAAUUGCAUUUGAGACUGUACGGCUAGAGUGUGUCAGAGGGGGGUAGAAUUCCACGUGUAGCAGUGAAAUGCGUAGAGAUGUGGAGGAAUACCGAUGGCGAAGGCAGCCCCCUGGGAUAACACUGACGCUCAUGCACGAAAGCGUGGGGAGCAAACAGG